rnacentral:rRNA from 1 species
UGUGAAAGUAAUUGUAUAGGUUCUAGCCUGCUCACUGACAAAAAGUGUUAAAUAGCCGCGGUAUUUUGACCGUGCAAAGGUAGCAUAAUCAUUAGUUUUUUAAUUGGAAACUUGUAUGAAUGGUUGGACAAAGAAAAGACUGUCUCUUUUAUUAAAAUUGAAAUUAACUUCUAAGUGAAAAGGCUUAGAUUUUCUAGAGGGACGAUAAGACCCUAUAAAGCUUCAUAAGUUAAAUAAAUUAGAUGGAUUUUUAGAAUAAAAGUAAAUUUAGUAAGCUUAUUUAGUUGGGGCGACAAGGGUAUAAAAUUAAAUAACUGCUAUUAAGGUUAGACAAUUAUAUUUGGUUGGAUUGUAAUUGAUCCUCGCUAUGGAUUAAAAGAUUAAGUUACUUUAGGGAUAACAGCGUAAUUUCUUUUAAGAGUUCUUAUCAAAGGAGAAGUUUGCGACCUCGAUGUUGAAUUAAAAUGUCUUUAUAGUGCAGAAGCUAUAAAAGAAGGUCUGUUCGACCUUUAAUUUUUUACAUGAUCUGAGUCCAGGACCCGGA